rnacentral:rRNA from 1 species
ACGGGAGGCAGCAGUGGGGAAUAUUGGGCAAUGGGCGAAAGCCUGACCCAGCGACGCCGCGUGAAGGAAGAAGGUCUUCGGAUUGUAAACUUCUUUUAUGAGGGACGAAGGACGUGACGGUACCUCAUGAAUAAGCCACGGCUAACUACGUGCCAGCAGCCGCGGUAAUACGUAGGUGGCAAGCGUUAUCCGGAUUUAUUGGGUGUAAAGGGCGCGUAGGCGGGGAUGCAAGUCAGAUGUGAAAUCCAUGGGCUUAACUCAUGAACUGCAUUUGAAACUGUAUCUCUUGAGUGCUGGAGAGGUAGAUGGAAUUCCUUGUGUAGCGGUGAAAUGCGUAGAUAUAAGGAAGAACACCAGUGGCGAAGGCGAUCUACCGGACAGUAACUGACGCUGAGGCGCGAAAGCGUGGGGAGCAAACAGGAUUAGAUACCCUGGUA